rnacentral:ncRNA from 1 species
GCAGAGUAGGCGCGCGCGUGUUCGCGGCGUGUCUCCGGCGUAUGCCGGAGGCACCCCACCAGUACCAGUGAGACGGGGAGUUGCUCACCGGGCGAAAGGGAUCUUUUCCCGGCAGUGCGUGCGUCGCAUCCCGCUGC